AACGCUUGCGUUUUUUUCUCAAGUCAACAACUUCCUGCUAGGGCCCAAAGAUGGGGAACAAGAAAUGCUUUUUUCUUUUUUUUUAUAAGUCUUAUCCCUCAAAUGCACCCCUUAACUAUUCUCUGGCCUCCUCCGGCUGCCUUACCAAAUCUGGAGGCUCACAUCAACUGCUAAGAAUAACUAACCGUGGUACAACAGCAACAUUCCCUGAGAGCUUACUCUGUGGGAGAGAUCUACAGUGAGAGCUUGACAUGAGCUUGACAUGCGUGAUCUCAUGAAGCUUUUAUAACACGGAUGCUAUUAUUACUCCCAUUUUAUGGAUGGGGAAACGGAGGUCUGCAGAAGGAAUUUGCCUAGAACACAGAGCUGAUGGAGGUUUUAGUGUUGUAGCUGACGUUUUGAAAUGCCAUGAGCCAACCAAAAUGCAUGUGAGGGCCACAUUGAUCCCUCAGGCCCACAUUCAGAGAUGGGACCAGUGCGUGGUCUGCCUGUCUCCCAGCCUCCUCUGGCUUCUUCCCCAUAAUCCCGUCCUAUGAGGCCCUCCCGCCCCCCGCGCCCCCCACCAGGCGUCUUGCAUGCCUUUUCCCAACCUGGCGUCUGCUAGUCUGCUCAUCAAAAGAAGCAAUCCAAUACAGGGGAUCACUUGCUUCAGGAAUCCACCACCUCACCUGCCAUGCCUGGCAGGUGAUAUAAAUGAGGACAGCAGUUCAGGUGAGGACUGAGGUGAAUAGAAACCCCAGGCCCCGUUUCAUGAGGACAGCUUCUAUCUGGCUUUGACUGUGGCCAAGUUGGAAUGUGAGCCCAGGGUGAACAUCAUUCGAUUUUGAGAGAGAGAGGGAGAGAGAGAGAGAGAGAGAGAGAAACUACAGAAAAGUUACAAUCCCCAAUUCAAUCCUCUCAUUUGGCAGAAGAAGAAAUCAAGGCAGGAAAGAGAGGUGCCUUUCGUCACUCAGGGCGAGUACGUAUUGGAUGGCAGAAGGUGGCCAGCAUCCAGAGAUGCCAGAUCUUCAUCCAGCUCUUUCCUUUUCUUCCUUUCUGUUCAUUAUUGAUUGAGGCUGUGGGUCUGAUUAGUUCUCUAUGACUGUGUAACAAAUUAUCCACGCACACAAAAUACAGCAACUCGUAACAAGGCGCUCAGUUUCCGUGGGUCAGAAUCAGGAUCCUGCUUAGCUGGGUCUUUUGCAAGUCUGCAUUCAAGGUAUGAGCCUAGGCUGGGGUCUCAUCUGAAAGCUCAACUGGAGCUUCCAAGCUCAUGUGGCUCUCGGUAAGUUUCGACUCCUCCAGAGGUGGGGGGCUGAGGAUUUCAGGUCUUCUGCUGUUGGUCAAAGACCAGGGGCAUUUCCUUGCCACUAGGCUUCCCCCCAUGGCAACUGGCUUCAUCAGAGCGUGAGAGCUGAGAAGGCAGUAGAGAGAGAGUCAGCAAGCAAGAUGGAGGUCCCGUCCUUUGUAACCCAACCAUGGAAGUGACAUCCCAUCAUCUCAUGUACAGAAUGGUUGAGAAAUACCCGGAUCAAAACAAUGAAGCUGUCUCCCUUGCGUACAGGAAGCGCGCAACAAUAACUAAAAUGGUUGCCAUUAAUGUUUUUUGAGGACUGGCUGCACAGCCUGCCUCCGGUCCCGCGGCUCUGCCCCCCUGAGUCCUCAGAACAACUGUGAGGUGGGUGUCAGUGGAUAUCCAUUUCACAGAGAAGAAACUGAGGCUCCCGGAGAUCGUGAGACUUGCCUAACAGCACAGCCAGAUGGGGCUGGAGCAGGAACUGACCCAUGUUUAUUUUCACUCCAAUAUCCUCUGCCAGAGCAUUUCCCAAACUUUAUUCCUUCAUGUAUAAACUGUCACAACUGCUGCCAAACCCAGGCUCACUUAUUCUACUCUCACAUACAGACACAUGGUAUUACCCUCCGUCCCGACAGUCGACGGCCCAGGCUCCGGACCGGGGCAGGGCUCAAUCCUGAGCUGCUCACACACCAGAUCACCCUGCACAAGCUGCUGACCCCCUCUGAACUGUAAAGUGGGGUGCAUGGGCUCAACUUGCUGGGUGACAGAGACACCCGGUGAGAUCAUGGGACUAAAUCACGGGGCACAUUGUAAGUGCCCCAUGAAUAUUUUACUGAAGGGACCCUCAAGGAACGGGAUCUGUCUUUACCAACUCUUCUCAACGCUGGAUCCAUGGUUAGCACAUUUCCAACAACAUCAUCAAUAUUAAGGAAGUCCUUAGUACUUUCCAUGACCUCCCCUAAAUUUGCAAUUAAGUAUUUGUUAAACCUGGAAUGCAGAUUUAAUGUCCUAUGGUUUGAGAUGACAUCAGAAAGCCUUGUUACUCCGGAUAAAAUCAGGGAAAUGAGAUAAA